CGCGGAAGGGGAGGGGCAAGCCGGAGUCGUUGAAGCAGCAGCUGCUUUAGUUUAAGAAACUUCAGCCGGGAGAAAGGAGGCGGGAGGGAGGGGGAGACCACGGCGACGUCGACUAGACCCAGCGAGGAAGUGACUCACCCAGAAAACGCAGCAUCUGCAGCUGCCCGUUAACCAGCUGCGGGCUGGGGAAUGAGCGGUUCCGGCCGGCCACGCCCAUCGCAACCUAAAUCUGCGAACCUGGCCCCCUGCCCGCUCCAUUCUUUUCUCCAGUCUCACCUCUUGGCGUCCGAGGCCACCUCUCCCCGAACUUUGAGACAUUCCCCAGGUUUGAGAUUCAGGUUGCUGGCGACCAGACCCUGUGUAGACAAGAGCACCGAGCUGUGUUUAGGUUGGAGUUAGACCUACCUGCAUUGGGCUGGGGUGUAGGGAUGGGGUCAUUCCCACCCUGGAGUACCCUGACCAGCCCUAGGGGAAGCCCGAGGUGGGAUGGGCUGGUCAGGAUAGGGUGUAAGUUGAUGGGGAACGACUUCAUUCCCAGCAGGGUGUCAAACUUGUGACUGUCCUACAGAACAAGCCCUAAAAGACAUCAGCUUGGAGACCUGGACUUAGAGUGGAGGGGAGAUGGAGUGUGACUUCCUAAAUCCUCAUUUUGCUGAUGGAAGGAUUAGGCGACCACUAGCCUAAGGCCUUGCUUCUCUGAGAUAGAGAAAACAGCCUUUGCCUCCCCAAUCGGCUUCAAGGCUCUCUGCUUAGAUGCACACCAUCGGGAGGGAGCGGAGAGGCUGAGGGGCGGUGGGACUGGGCAGCCCGAGAGUGGCAAUGUGGACUUAGCACGCUAGAGAGCCCAGUACAUAUCAGGGCACUGCUGUGCACCUACCUGGGUGAGUUGACAGGAGUUCAUUUGGGCAAGGGGUUUCUUUGACAUUUGAACCCUAUACCUGAGGGCUUGCCUGUCUGUGCAAAUGCAUGCAGUUUCCUCCGCCCAGCCCUGACCCGCCUCCACUGACCAGCCUGGAGCCUAUCUUAGGCCCGGGAGGGUUUUUUUUUUUUUUUUUUUAGUUUUCUGGAGCAGAGGGUGACCAACUGAGCCCUGGCCCUGUGACUGGGGACAGCUGCAGCGGGGGAGGGGUCAGGAGACUCUAGAGUGGAGAGGAAGAGUGAACAGGGAAUGGCCUUGGCCAAAAUGUCCCCCUGCCUCCCUUUUCCCCGGGUGGCCACACCCUUCCCACUCCCACUUCUCAGAAAACGGCAAAGCAGCAGAAUACUGGACUUUGCAAGGCAGAUGUAGCCACUGAGGACCAGAGAAAACACCUGUCCAAGGCAGCACAGCUGGGACCAGAAGCAAGUCCCCAAUUGUCUACUCUCCUGUGCCCAUCUGCUUCUGCUCAGUCCCCUAGACCUUGGAACAGAGGGUCCCGCACUCACACAGGCCAUGAUUGAAGCUGAAGCGAAGAGAUUCCUGAGACCUGCUCCACCAGCAGUCAGAAGACUCCACCCGAGAGACGGGCCCCAGGCCCGCUCCGACCUUUUUAACUGGAUCAGACCCGGCUCUCGCUUCCCUCCGCCUUCCUGACCUGACCAUCACCCUUCUAAGCCAAAGGCACGAAGACUAGUCACUGUCUCAAAAAUGCCGAGCCAAGCCUUGCAGGACAACCCCUCCCCCACCGGAGUGUUCCUGAGGUAACUGCACACCCGGGAGAAGGAGUGACCCUCUCCCUAGAACUUACACAUCCCCUUAAGCAAUAUGACUUCUUUAAGCCAUCGUACAGAGCCAGUCAGUCAGCCCAGGUAUGCAUACCUCUUGUUAUCUGUGCUGAUUCUUUCAAUAUUUAAACUUAAACUACAUGGUGGCUCAUGCCUGUAACACCAGCACUUGGGAAAAUGAGGCAGGAGGAUUAGGAAUUCUCAUCUGCUACAUGAGACCCUGGCUAAAAAACAAAAAACAAAAAAAAAACAAAAACAAAAAACAAAACAAAAAACAAAACAACAACAAAAAACAAAAAACGGGCAGUGGCGGUGCAUGCCUUUAAUCCCAGCACUUGGGAGGCAGAGGCAGGUGGAUUUCUGAGUUCGAGGCCAGCCUGGUCUACAGAGUGAGUUCCGGGACAGCCAGGGCUACACAGAGAAACCCUGUCUCGGAAAACAAAAACAAAAACACAAAAACAAAAAAACAAAUUAGCAGCUAUCCAGGCAGUGGUGGUACACACCUCUGACCCCAGCAUUCAGGAUGUAGACAGAGGCAGCUCUCUGUGAGUUCAAAGACAGUCUGGCUUACAGAUUGAAGUUCCUGGAUAGUCAGGAGUACAGAGAGAAACCCUGUCUUAAAAACCAAACCAAACCAAACCAAACCAAACCAAACCAAACCAAACCAACCAAAUAACCAAACAAAAAUUAGCAGCUAAAACAGCAACAACGGCCUCUCCAAAAGCCAACUCACAUUAGUACCCCAAAACAAACUUGGGGUUACUGAGACUCUUGAUCUGUUCCCUUUCCCAGUGUGGCCACAUUGAAUAAAUCCUUUUGUGUUUGUUAACCUGAUGUCCCCUUAGCCUCUUUUUAGGCAGGAGUCUUACGCAGUACAGCCCGGCCUCAAGCUUGCUGGGCUAAGGCUGACCUUAAACCUCUGACCCCCCUGCUCCUGCCUCUCAAGUUCUGGGAUUUCAGGCCUGUGACAACUGACUUGUUGGGGAUUAAACCAGACCUUCACUCGUGCUAAGUGAGCAUUCUACCAACUAGUUAUCUCUUUAAUUGGUGUAGAGGCCCAGCUCCAUUGGUUGGCUGCCAGAGCCCCCUCUCCUGCCCUAAAACCUCUGGUUAGUUAGAGGGGUAUUUGGCUCACGCUGGGAAUCAGGUGUCGGGGCAACAGGGGGUCCGUGUAGCCGUUCCCCUUCCGAAGCUACCAUCUUGGAAGAGUUGUGACGAUAAGGGGUCAUUGAGUCACAUCUGGAGGCCAGGCCAGCAAUCCUCUUGCCCUACCCAGCCUCUUCCUCCCAGGCUCAUCUCUAGCUCCUCCCUCCAGAUGUGGAAAGCCCACCCAGGAUGUGAGGAGAGGGAAACCCGCAGGGCACAGGGGAGAUGCUAUCACAUCUGGAGUGAGGUUGGCCUGCCCCAUCAUCUCCAGCCCCGCCCUCAAGUCACCACCAGAGAACCCAACCGCAGCAGCUUCAAUCUUUCCUCUGAGGCCUCCCCAGACUUCAGUUACAGGGCGGGACUGUUGGGGCCCUGGCCGGUUAGUUCCUCUACUAUUCCAACUGUGUGUGCCCCUCUCCCACAUCAGGAACAGGACAAAGACAUCAGGCAGAGUUCCAGGUAGAAGACCAGAGAUGAGGCAGUCAAUUGCCAGGCAAAUCCACGGGCUGGGAGCUCAGGGCUCUGGGAGCUGUUCCUGCCAGGUCAUGACUGGAAUAGAAGACCUACACCAGGAAGUGUGUGUGUGUGCACUUCUCUGUAGGUGCUGUCUGAGCAGGCCGGCCAUGGAAGAGCAUGGUAUAAGGACUAGUCUCCUGACCAUGGCCUGGAGAUUCUGGUUUAUGCUUCCAACCCUGUUUACCUGUUUAUUCAUUUUCUCCAUUUGCAACUGUACGUGUGAAGUCCCUCUUUCCUUCCUGAGGGUCACGUAAGGUGGGACUCAGGUCUGUGGCUCUUCAUAGGUGACCUUUGCCUUGAGACAGUCCUGCUCUGUAGCCCGGGCUGGUUUGGAGUUCGAAGCAGUCCUGCCUGGGAUAACAGGUAUGAGUUCACCAUACCUAGCUGAGCUCAAGAUUUACAGUCUCCUUGUCGCCUCUUCCAAGGUUACCUUCCCUGGUGUUUGGCAGACCCUCUUCUGGUCCUCUCCCACCCGAGCUGUGGUAUGGAUUUGCCAGAUGCCAAUAGCCCCUGUAACCGGCACUAUGGUUUUUAAGGCAGGGUUGUCAGAAAUAAGGUCCCUUCCUUGCCCCACACCCACAAAGUGCUCAGGGCCUCCUGGUGGUGGCACCCACUUAUCUGUCAGGCCCAGUGCCCGGCGCCUUGCUUUCAAAGCCUAUCUCAUUUGAGCAUAUCAGUCUCUGCCCACCUGGUGAAUAGCCGCUGUGGUCAGAUCCCAAACAGAGGCAGGAUGGGGAACAGAGACGAGCAUGGAUUUGGGGGGGGCAGGGUGUAGUCCUGGGCGUUGGUUAUUCUGAAUAAUGUCCACAUUCUAGAAGGUAGCAGUAUGCCGAUCAUUUCAGGGUGAGUUGAGGAUUGCAGGUAUUGAGGUAUGCCUUUUUCCUUCCUUGUUUCCUAAGGCCAAAGGUGGGGCCCCUGAUGAUUCUCCCUCAGGCUCCCACAGUAGCCAUUGGAGUCCUCUGGAAUUCUGUUCAGAAGCCCAGCCCUUGGAUCUGGCCUUAGCUUUUCCAUACAGGUCCCAGCCAGCAAGGUCCUUCCUGACCCUCCAACUCCUACCCCUCCCUGACAGUCUGUACUGCUUGCGGCCAGCCCUGGGAGGGAGCCACGGAGCUCAUGGGUACCAUGCACAGCACCCACCAAGCUGGCUCCAACACAGAGUUCUUGAAGUCAGAGCAGGGAGGGACCCCAGAGAUGCCAUGGCCUGCUCCCCCAUAUCUUCUGAUGCACUUUAAGGAUGUGGAAACCAGAGAGGGAGGGUACUUGGCUGUGCUCUCUCAGGGAGCUGGGGCUGAGGAGAGCCUUUUAUGAAGUGUAGAAGGGCAGCUUUGACCUCCCCGGCUUGGCUGUUGUGCUGUCUUGAAAAUUCUAAACAGCUCAGUCCAUUGCUUUUGAAUUCAGCCUCAAUCAGCUUUUCUGGAUAUCUGGCAGAAUGCAGCUAGGUCCUUGGCUAGAGUAUGACACAAGGUCCUGAUGGAGUCCACAGAGUCCUCUGAAAACCUCAUAAGCACGGUACUCACCGCUCACCCUUCUCUGCAUCUUGGCCUCCCAAACUCUCAGCGGAAUGGCCCAUGAUGCUCUGCUUAUAGUAUCCGAGCCUCUCUAGCCAGCAGCUCUGGGCUCUCCCAUUGUUACUCCUAGAAACCAGCUCAGGAGGCCUAUGAACUUCACGCACAGGCUCCUCACAACAGCGGCCCCUCUUCUGACAGCAAUUUUCUCUACUGAUUCCAAUUGCUUCCAAUUGCUGUGACUGCUUGGUAAGUAACCACAGGAAGGAAGGGAGUAUUUCGGCUCACGGUUCGAAGGGAAACAGUCCGUCGCGGUGAGGAAGACAUGGUGGCAGAAAUGUGGGAGAGGUGGUCACACUGUGCUUGGCACCAGCAAGCAAGCAGAGACGAAGAUGAAUGCCAGCCCCAGCCCAUAUUCUGUCUUCACUGUUCCAGCCUGGGUCCCCAGCCUGUGGGAUGCCACCCCCCACUCUCAGGGCUGGCUUUCCUUCUUUAGUUAAAACAUCAGCACAGACAUGCUAAAGGAAGGCCUGUCUCCUCCCCAGCACCCACUCGGGGUGGCUCACAACCUCCUGUAACUCCAGUUCCAGGGAGGUCCAGUACUGUUUUUCUCACUUCCAUGGGCAUCAGGCAUGCACAUCAUGCAAAUAUAUACAUGCAAGCAAAUGCUUAUAAACUUUGGUCGUUUCUUUUUUAAAAAGCAAAUUUAAGCCGG
rnacentral:lncRNA from 1 species